UACGGAGGGUGCAAGCGUUGUCCGGAUUUAUUGGGUUUAAAGGGUGCGUAGGCGGCCCGUUAAGUCAAUGCUGAAAGCCUGUGGCUUAACCAUAGGACUGGCAAUGAUACUGGCGGGCUUGAGUACAGACGAGGUAGGCGGAAUUGAUAAUGUAGCGGUGAAAUGCAUAGAUAUUAUCAGGAACUCCGAUUGCGAAGGCAGCUUACUAGGCUGUAACUGACGCUGAGGCACGAAAGUGUGGGGAGCAAACAGG
rnacentral:misc_RNA from 1 species